GUGGCUGUGGCUCAGUGGUAGCGCACUUACCUGGCAUGUAUGAGGCACUGGGUUCGAUUCUAAGCACCACA
rfam:Ictidomys tridecemlineatus contig107580, whole genome shotgun sequence.